rnacentral:rRNA from 1 species
UGGUGCAGCGGCGGACGGGUGAGUAUGCCUAGGAUCUGCCUGAUAGUGGGGGAUAACGUUCGGAAACGGACGCUAAUACCGCAUACGUCCUACGGGAGAAAGUGGGGGACCUUCGGGCCUCACGCUAUCAGAUGAGCCUAGGUCGGAUUAGCUAGUUGGUGGGGUAAUGGCUCACCAAGGCGACGAUCCGUAACUGGUCUGAGAGGAUGAU